rnacentral:tRNA from 2 species
GGGCUCGUAGCUCAGAAAGGUAGAGCAGCGGGCUUUUAACCCGUCGGCCGCGGGUUCAAAUCCCGUCGAGCCCG